GGUUGUGGCUCAGUGGUAAAGCGCUUGCCUAGCAUGGGUGAGGCCCUGGGCUCAUUCCCCAGCACCA
rnacentral:tRNA from 1 species